rnacentral:rRNA from 1 species
GACGAACGCUGGCUGCGUGCUUAACACAUGCAAGUCGAACGGAAAGGCCCUGCUUUUGUGGGGUGCUCGAGUUGCUAACGGGUUAGUAACACGUGAGUAACCUGCCCUUGACUUUGGGAUAACUUCAGGAAACUGGGGCUACUACCGGAUAGGCGCUCCUGCUGCAUUGUGGGCGUUGGAUAGUUUCGGCGGUUGGGGAUGGACUCGCGGCUUAUUAGCUUGUUGGUGGGGUAGUGGCUUACCAAGGCUUUGACGGGUAGCCGGCCUGAGAGGGUGACCGGCCACAUUGGGACUGAGAUACGGCCCAGACUCCUACGGGAGGCAGCAGUGGGGAAUAUUGCACAAUGGGCGGAAGCCUGAUGCAGCAACGCCGCGUGCGGGAUGACGGCCUUCGGGUUGUAAACCGCUUUCGCCUGUGACGAAGCGUGAGUGACGGUAAUGGGUAAAGAAGCACCGGCUAACUACGUG